UACGAAGGGGGCUAGCGUUGUUCGGAAUCACUGGGCGUAAAGCGCACGUAGGCGGAUCUUUAAGUCAGGGGUGAAAUCCCGAGGCUCAACCUCGGAACUGCCUUUGAUACUGGGGAUCUCGAGUCCGGGAGAGGUGAGUGGAACUGCGAGUGUAGAGGUGAGAUUCGUAGAUAUUCGCAAGAACACCAGUGGCGAAGGCGGCUCACUGGCCCGGAACUGACGCUGAGGCGCGAAAGCGUGGGGAGCAAACAGG
rnacentral:rRNA from 1 species